rnacentral:misc_RNA from 1 species
AGCAGCCGCGGUAAUUCCAGCUCCAAUAGCGUAUAUUAAAGUUGUUGCAGUUAAAAGCUCGUAGUUGAACUUCGGGGUUUACUCAUUGGUCAGGCUUAAUUGUCUGUACUGGUGAGAUGAAUCUCUACCUUCUGAGGAACUUUCAUGCCAUUUAUUUGGUGUGGUUGGAAAUCAGGACUGUUACUUUGAAAAAAUUAGAGUGUUUAAAGCAGGCUAACGUCUGAAUACAUUAGCAUGGAAUAAUGAAAUAGGACGGAUUGAUUCUAUUUCGUUGGUUUCUAGGGUCACCGUAAUGAUUAAUAGGGAUAGUCGGGGGCAUUAGUAUUCAAUUGUCAGAGGUGAAAUUCUUGGAUUUAUUGAAGACUAACUACUGCGAAAGCAUUUGCCAAGGAUGUUUUCAUUAAUCAAGAACGAAAGUUAGGGGAUCGAAGACGAUCAGAUACCGUCGUAGUCUUAACCAUAAACUAUGCCGACUAGGGAUCGGACGAAGUUAAUUAAUAAUGACGCGUUCGGCACCUUA